AUGGGAAGUAAUUGUUUUCUAUGAAUAAAUUUAGAUAGCCUUUCAUUCUAUUAUUUUGGAGCUAAAGGCUGCAACGUGAAUAGUGAGAGUUGACAUAUUUUUCUUAUCUUAUUCUUUCUGACAUUUCUUGCUAAAAUCAUAAUCUCCAUUUGAUUGAAAUUAAUUAACAUGAAGGUUAUAGUCAGUGGCAUCUAAAAUCUAGGUUAAAAGAGAAAAUUCAAAUAUUAGGAAUUAUUUUGCAAUACUUAUUUAGAUUUUUGAUUGAGAUUUUUCAGCUAGCAUCUAGGGAUUUUUUGUUUUUGUUCUUAGACACAGAAAGACUCUAAAGUUAAAAUCAACAUAAUUGAAUACUUAGCUCUCUCAAAACAGAGAAACAAACAAAAUCUCAUAGCCAACUGUGAUAUUGUAAUUUAUAAAAAAUAUAUAUAUUUGAUCAUUCAGAUGGCCAAAAUGUAUUUCUCAUAUAUAUUUGGUCUUCAUUCACAGUUCCUUGCUCACAGUUCCCAAAACCCUGGAAUUCCCUGAGCUGUAAGAGUAAUGGGAGCAUCUUUUGUUAUAAUAUUUGGUCUCUUAUUCUCAGGCCCUGAAAUUGCUUCAGAGCCAUAAAGCUGAAAAAGGUAUCUUGUUAUUCACACAAACUCCUAUUCUACCACAAUUCAUGUUAAUAAAGGUGACUUCUGGAGCACCUAAGACUGGAACUGUUGCCAAGGGAACCAAUUAUGACCAGAGGGGUGGGACUUUUAGUUCCCCCCUGAUUUCUGCAGAGGUGGAAGGGCUAAAGGCUGAAUCAAUCACGAACAGCCAAUGAGUUAUCAAUCAUGACCAUGUAACGAAGCCUCCAUAAAAACCUAAAAGAAGGGAAUUCAGAGAGUUUCCAAGUUUGGGAGCCAGAAUGAGUCCACAUGCCAUCAAUGCCAGGAGCCAAGCUCCAAGACAGAAGCUCCUUUGCUCAGGACUCACCCAUGUAUCUCUUCAUCUGGUUGUUGAUUCAUAUACUUUAAUAUCUUUUGUAAUAAAUUAGUAAUAAGACCCUAAGCCACAUCAAAUCACAUUAUUUUGGUGCCCAACAUUCAGCCUGAGUCUUCUCAUCUGGACUGCGACCCUCAGUGCAAACUUGGAAUAUAGUGUGACUGCUAACAUGCUUUCUCGUUGCCGUGAAUCUGUGGAAGACCUCAAACUUCUCUUCAAAUGACAAUGAAGGACUAGAGCACGUCACUUGGCACAUGGAAGCUCUUAAUAAUGUCUCCCUGCCUGGUGCCUAGACUCCUUCCCUGCAUUUGCUCGAAGUCCUCAGAAGCUGAGCCAUGCAGACUCAUCACCAUGUUCCAACACCUUGCCACCUAGUUUCCUGUUGGGUUUGGCCAAUGGAAGAUAUCAACAUGAAACCGGAAUGUUUGAGAAGAGAGAGACUGGCAUUCUUUCCUGCUUCCUUUUUGCUAUACCACUUGCUCUCUGGCAGUAGCUGUAUCUCUAUUUCACUGGGCCACUCCUUCACAGUUGCAGUCCAGAAACACUAAUUUCUCUCCAAAGAGUUUCUUACUAAGCUGUUUCUGUAUGCUUCAUCAUCUCAUUUAUUCCCAUAACUAUGCCCACAUCUUUUUAAAUAGUCUCUUCAUUUGGACUGAAUUGUUUCCUGCUGGGUCCCUAACAAUUACUACAUUUUAAAACCUAUUGGGGUGUCUGGGUGGCUCAGUCACUUGAGCAUCUGACUCCUGAUUUCAGCUCAAGUCAUGAUCCCAGUGUCCUAGAGAUCCCAUGUCCCAGGGAUCCCAUGUCUCAGGGAUCUGACCCCAUGUUGAGCUCCAUGUUGAGCAUGGAGUUUGCUUAAGAUUCUCUCUCUCCCUCUGCCCCUCUCCCCCACUCAUGUGCUCUCUCUCAUGAAAUAAAUAAAAUAA